GACGAACGCUGGCGGUGGGCUUAACACAUGCAAGUCGAACGGAAAGGCCCUGCUUUCGUGGGGUGCUCGAUUGCCGAAAGGGUGCGUAUCACGUGAGUAACCUGCCCUUCACUUUCGGAUAACAUCAGGAAACUGGGGCUAAUACCGGAUAGGAGCCCCUGCUGCAGGGUGGGGGUUGGAUAGUUUCGGCGGCUGGGGAUGGACUCGCGGCUUAUCAGCUUGUUGGUGGGGUAGUGGCUUACCAAGCCUUUGACGGAUAGCCGGCUUUGGAGGGUGACCGGGCACCUUGCACCUAAGAUACGGACCAGUCUCCUAUGUGGGACAGCGGUGGGAAGUCUUGCACAAUGAGCACGCGCGUGAUACAGCAGCGUCGGGUUCGGAAUGACGGCCUUCUGGUAGUAAACAGCUUUAGGCUGAGACGCAGCGUGAGUGACGGUAAUGAGUAAAGAAGCACCGGCUAACUACGUG
rnacentral:rRNA from 1 species